UACGGAGGGUGCAAGCGUUAUCCGGAUUCACUGGGUUUAAAGGGUGCGUAGGCGGGUUGGUAAGUCCGUGGUGAAAUCCCCAAGCUUAACUUGGGAACUGCCGUGGAUACUAUCAAUCUUGAAUAUCGUGGAGGUAAGCGGAAUAUGUCAUGUAGCGGUGAAAUGCUUAGAUAUGACAUAGAACACCAAUUGCGUAGGCAGCCUACUACACGAUCAUUGACGCUGAGGCACGAAAGCGUGGGGAGCAAACAGG
rnacentral:rRNA from 1 species